AACGAACGCUGGCGGCAUGCCUAACACAUGCAAGUCGAACGAGACCUUCGGGUCUAGUGGCGCACGGGUGCGUAACGCGUGGGAACCUGCCCUUAGGUUCGGAAUAACUCCCCGAAAGGGGUGCUAAUACCGGAUAAUGUCUUCGGACCAAAGAUUUAUCGCCUUUGGAUGGGCCCGCGUUGGAUUAGCUAGUUGGUAGGGUAAAAGCCUACCAAGGCGACGAUCCAUAGCUGGUCUGAGAGGAUGAUCAGCCACACUGGGACUGAGACACGGCCCAGACUCCUACGGGAGGCAGCAGUGGGGAAUAUUGGACAAUGGGCGAAAGCCUGAUCCAGCAAUGCCGCGUGAGUGAUGAAGGCCUUAGGGUUGUAAAGCUCUUUUACCCGGGACGAUAAUGACAGUACCGGGAGAAUAAGCUCCGGCUAACUCCGUA
rnacentral:rRNA from 1 species